rnacentral:rRNA from 1 species
GAUGAACGCUGACAGAAUGCUUAACACAUGCAAGUCUACUUGAUCCUUCGGGUGAUGGUGGCGGACGGGUGAGUAACGCGUAAAGAACUUGCCCUGCAGUCUGGGACAACAUUUGGAAACGAAUGCUAGUACCGGAUAUUAUGUGAGUUUCGCAUGAAAUUCAUAUGAAAGCUAUAUGCGCUGCAGGAGAGCUUUGCGUCCUAUUAGCUAGUUGGUGAGGUAACGGCUCACCAAGGCGAUGAUAGGUAGCCGGCCUGAGAGGGUGAACGGCCACAAGGGGACUGAGACACGGCCCUUACUCCUACGGGAGGCAGCAGUGGGGAAUAUUGGACAAUGGACCAAAAGUCUGAUCCAGCAAUUCUGUGUGCACGAUGAAGUUUUUCGGAAUGUAAAGUGCUUUCAGUUGGGACGAAGUAAGUGACGGUACCAACAGAAGAAGCGACGGCUAAAUACGUGCCAGCAGCCGCGGUAAUACGUAUGUCGCAAGCGUUAUCCGGAUUUAUUGGGCGUAAAGCGCGUCUAGGCGGUUUGGUAAGUCUGAUGUGAAAAUGCGGGGCUCAACUCUGUAUUGCGUUGGAAACUGUCAAACUAGAGUACUGGAGAGGUGGGCGGAACUACAAGUGUAGAGGUGAAAUUCGUAGAUAUUUGUAGGAAUGCCGAUGGGGAAGCCAGCCCACUGGACAGAUACUGACGCUAAAGCGCGAAAGCGUGGGUAGCANACAGG